CCCUUAGAUGUUCUGGGCUGCACGCGCGCUACACUGAUGCGUUCAACGAGUACAACCUUGACCGGAAGGUUUGGGUAAUCUUACAAUACGCAUCGUGAUGGGGAUAGAUUAUUGCAAUUAUUAAUCUUCAACGAGGAAUUCCUAGUAAGCGCAAGUCAUCAGCUUGCGCUGAUUACGUCCCUGCCCUUUGUACACACCGCCCGUCGCUCCUACCGAUUGAGUGAUCCGGUGAGUUGUUAGGAUCGGCCUGAAUGCUCACGCGUUCAGGCCGCGAAUUUCUGCAAACCUUAUCACUUAGAGGAAGGAGAAGUCGUANCA
rnacentral:rRNA from 1 species